AAUGUUUAAGAAGAACGCCCCAAACAAUAUCUUACUUUGUUGAUGAUAUAUUUUUUUGUUUGACAAGGCAUCAAUAAGGAAACUUUUCUCAAGGAUCUGACAGCGUCCAAGGCAGCCAAGGACUGCCUGGCCAGAACGCAAAAUCAAUCUUUGCAGAGCUUAUCAGGCUAUAAAUAAAGAGCUGAAUAUAUUGAAAACUGCUGAAGUCAUGCCACACGUGAUUGUAAGGUGCUCUAUUGUUUUUUAACGGGGUGCUGCCAAAGACAUAUUACGUAAUAAGUUGAAACAAUUCAACAGUAUGUGUGUGGGUGUGUAUGUGUGCGUGUGUUGGAAAGCGACUGAGUGUGAGGGCCACAGGACGCGCGUCGAAAGUCAACAACAACGAUCGAGUUGGCAACGCCAAAUUGAAGCGAAUGAACGGAAGCAAAUGCCAAGCAAAUGUUGGAAAAUGCAUACAAACAUAUUUAUUUAUUGCGGGGAAGCUGGGUGUGCGUGUGCGUGCGCGACAGCCAGUCUGCGCUUAUCAAGGCAAGGCCAGCGAGAAAUUCGUGGCCAACAUCAGCAACAGACCCAUUUGGAGCCCAUCAGCUGUGCCGUAGAAAUACAUAGCUAGCAGCAGCUACGCGAGUCGCGACCAGUCGUCGAUGAUUGUUGCUGCUGCUGCUGCUACUGCUGCGAUGUCUUUGUCAAAAAAAGCUUUAACUGGCUGCGAAUGCGAUUGAUUGGAGGCGCCGCACGGUUUGGAACGCGUUAACAUUCCAGUUGCGCGACACAAACACACACAAAUUUUUGUUGUUGUUUUUUAUUUGCCCGAAUAUUACUUGAUUAUUCACUUUUUGGCAUCAUA